rnacentral:rRNA from 1 species
UACGGGGGGGGCAAGCGUUGUUCGGAAUUACUGGGCGUAAAGGGCUCGUAGGCGGCCAACUAAGUCAGACGUGAAAUCCCUCGGCUUAACCGGGGAACUGCAUCUGAUACUGGAUGGCUUGAGUUCGGGAGAGGGAUGCGGAAUUCCAGGUGUAGCGGUGAAAUGCGUAGAUAUCUGGAGGAACACCGGUGGCGAAGGCGGCAUUCUGGACCGACACUGACGCUGAGGAGCGAAAGCCAGGGGAGCAAACGGG